UAGGGAAUCUUCGGCAAUGGACGGAAGUCUGACCGAGCAACGCCGCGUGAGUGAAGAAGGUUUUCGGAUCGUAAAGCUCUGUUGUAAGAGAAGAACGAGUGUGAGAGUGGAAAGUUCACACUGUGACGGUAUCUUACCAGAAAGGGACGGCUAACUACGUGCCAGCAGCCGCGGUAAUACGUAGGUCCCGAGCGUUGUCCGGAUUUAUUGGGCGUAAAGCGAGCGCAGGCGGUUAGAUAAGUCUGAAGUUAAAGGCUGUGGCUUAACCAUAGUACGCUUUGGAAACUGUUUAACUUGAGUGCAAGAGGGGAGAGUGGAAUUCCAUGUGUAGCAGUGAAAUGCGUAGAUAUAUGGAGGAACACCGGUGGCGAAAGCGGCUCUCUGGCUUGUAACUGACGCUGAGGCUCGAAAGCGUGGGGAGCAAACAGGAUUAGAUACCCUGGUAGUCCACGCCGUAAACGAUGAGUGCUAGGUGUUAGACCCUUUCCGGGGUUUAGUGCCGCAGCUAACGCAUUAAGCACUCCGCCUGGGGAGUACGACCGCAAGGUUG
rnacentral:rRNA from 1 species